CGAUAUAACGGAGGCAUCUUAUACAAGAACAUUGUAUAAUUUUUCAGAGCGACAUUGAGAUGCAGGUCAAAGAAACCAGUCUUAGAGACAAAGCCAGAGGAAAUGAAGUCAAACGUACGUACACGAUAGGAGCACUAGAGGGUGAAAUAUGGCGGCAAGGUUGGGCGGUGUACGGGUCAAGGAUAGGAGAUGGCUCGGAAUAAAACGACUCUUCGUACUACCCUAACGCAAUUUUCUCUUCUUUCGACCCUCUCGAACUGCGCACUCAUAACUCGGUAAAGUGAAAUAUCUGGAAAAGUCUGUUUCGUUUCAUGUUCUCCGAGCCGAUUGUUUUUUUUCCUUCCACUUUUCAUUCGUCGCAGAAAAGCUUUUAAAUUCUUGACCAAAUGAUUUAAACGCUUAUGCUUUAGAAAUAGAUUUCGCGGUUUAUAUUGUUUCGCUCGCAAAAUGAUUAAUGCUUUUUUCUACUCUUAUAAAAUUUUUCUAUCGAGAUUUACAUUUGUCAAGAAAUGAAAUAACUCAGAGUUAAACGCCAAUACUUCAAGACCGUCAAGCUGCGGACUUUUAUUGGCUGUUUUAUCGUGACAUGUAUUCAAUUUUCUUCACGCGGACAAAUACUACCCACGAUAAUCGAUAAGAUAGCAAGUAAAAGUUUCCUAGAAACAUCGAUAACGGUAUUGUGAUGAUCGACAUAUUGCUCAAUGUAAAAGGUUGAGAUAGGAAAACAUCCCUUUCCACUCAUAUUUCACAUCUUGAAUACAAUCUAUAUAUAGUAUUUGGCCAUAGUAUCCCGAGACUAGAAUACAAUGAAGAACCUAUUUAUUGCACGAUAAACGCGAUAUUAUAUUAGAGAGCCCACUGAAGCUAGCCAGCCAGGAGAUUAACAAAAAAGAGGGAAUGGCACGAAAGGAAGAAGUAGAAAAUUACUCGCUGGUUCCGGCGAAAUUGAAGCGCGAACUUCGUCGACCAACCCACACAUGAUGCCCCUAUUCUCGCCGUCAUACAUUCGUUGCCUUUGUCUCCAGAAACUGAUGCAGUAUCACAUGUGUAAAAGUAAUAUCUGGUAUGCGAGUACGAGUCAAAGGGGUUCCCCACGUUUGAAUUAUAAGGCCUGGGUGGGUUAAACGCGCGAGCGCGCUCGAGAGCAAGGUCGGAAGAGAAACUGAAGGGAUGAGGAGCGAGAGAAAGUGCGAGAGGAAGAGAAUAUCGCGUCGCGAGAAUAUGAAGCGGACUGCAUGUAUAUCUGCGCGUAUAUGCGCGUGUCGGCGACAGAGGGUUGAUAAACGCCUCUCCCGGCAACCACCCGCCCUCAACCCAACAGUCUUCCCUCGCAAUCAUCUCACCGUCGCAGUAUUCAUAAACUACUCAGACAAUGUCGGAAACUUUACGUCGCGGACCGGCGAUGCUCUGAUACGAAAUAAUAGCCACCGCAUAGUAAUGAAGAUCACGAAUCUGACCUAUGCUACGAGUCUAUAUAAAAGGAUUUCUCUCUGUAC